rnacentral:rRNA from 1 species
AACGAACGCUGGCGGCAUGCCUAACACAUGCAAGUCGAACGAGACCUUCGGGUCUAGUGGCGCACGGGUGCGUAACGCGUGGGAAUCUGCCCUUGGGUUCGGGAUAACAGUUGGAAACGACUGCUAAUACCGGAUGAUGACUUCGGUCCAAAGAUUUAUCGCCCAGGGAUGAGCCCGCGUCGGAUUAGCUUGUUGGUGAGGUAAAGGCUCACCAAGGCGACGAUCCGUAGCUGGUCUGAGAGGAUGAUCAGCCACACUGGGACUGAGACACGGCCCAGACUCCUACGGGAGGCAGCAGUGGGGAAUAUUGGACAAUGGGCGAAAGCCUGAUCCAGCAAUGCCGCGUGAGUGAUGAAGGCCUUAGGGUUGUAAAGCUCUUUUACCCGGGAAGAUAAUGACUGUACCGGGAGAAUAAGCCCCGGCUAACUCCGUGCCAGCCGCCGCCGUAAAAC